UAAAUUUCUGAGAAAUAUAGACAUUAAUAGCUUUCUAAAAAGGUAAAACUCGUAUUUUUCCUUGAAGUGAUUGAUUUUAUAUGAUUUUCCAAAGUUAGGAUUCAAAUGUGUAUGUGUCUUGAUUAAACUUGUGAUUGGUAGUUAAUUGAGAUCCUACACUACUAAACUUGAAUUAAGGUUUUAUUGUUCUAAUUACCUAUUGAGGAUUAUUGAUUACUAAGCUUGUUAAUAUGAUAGUUGAUGGACAUAAUUAUGUUUGUAUGAUUAAUUACUUUGGGAUUUUGUGUUUUACAUGUAUGGUUAGUUGUAAACUGAUCUCUAUGGAAUGGAUUUGUUUACUUCUAAACUUUCUCUAGUAGAGGAAUUCUUAUAAGAUAGGAAUAUUAGUUUAUACGUUCUUAAAGUUCAUAGAGUCAGUAUAUUGAUUAGUUUAGUUGAUGCAACCUUAGCAGUUUAUUGGGAUGUUAUUUAUAGCUAAUUCUUCUUAUCUAGUUAUCCAAUCUUAUUUUAGAAUCUUGCUAUUAUGAAGGUGACAGUAGCAAUGAUAGAUAAGUGAGCAAGAGUUUCUACAUCGUUAAGCGUAUCAGGUGGGCUUUCUAAACUCAGAAUUUGAAGUGCGCACUAUUUAAUGAUGUUUAUAUGAAUGAAAGUUAUAUUAAAGUUAUUGACUUGCCAAAUUAUUUUAUGAGCUUGUAUGUUACCAUCUACGAGAGAUAGACGAUAUCGGCCCUAUGCUGAAGCGAGAUGUCAGUAAGGGUUUGUGCACAUAGUUGUGACCGUGAGUCAUCGAGCGGGUUGGCUGGUCACUGUGAUCGGGAGCCUUCGGGCCGAUCACUGUGUUUGAGAAGGAGGCCUACUUCUCAACACAAGGUUACAUGAAGCGUAGUUAUGGUACAUACAUGUUAAUUGUCUGCAGACGUAUAUGAUGUUAUGAUGAUAUAUAUAUAGAAGUUUUAGAGUUUUGGCGUGCACAGGUUAUUUUUAAAUAAAACUCCUGUGUGAUGCUUGAGAUGGCAAGUUCAAUAUAUAGCUCUAAGAGCAAACUUUAAAGUUAUUUCGGCAUGUGACCAUUGGGUACCUUUUUAGUACUCAGCCCUGCAUAUGUUUUCUAAAUAUGCAGGUUAAGCUGUGAUGCGGAUGGAAGCGAGCAGAACAAAGUCUUAAAGAUAAUGUAUUAAAUUAGGCUCAGGAUUUCAUGUCCUCAUACAUGUAAUCCACUUGAGUUAUUUCCGCUGCAACACUUAAUGUACUUUACUUUAUUGAUGUGUUGUACAGAUUUUAAACCAAUAGCUUCG
rnacentral:lncRNA from 1 species